rnacentral:rRNA from 1 species
UACGUAGGGUGCAAGCGUUAAUCGGAAUUAUUGGGCGUAAAGGGUGCGUAGGCGGUUUGUUAAGACGGAUGUGAAAUCCCGGGGCUCAACCUCGGAACUGCCUUUGAUACUGCGGGUCUUGAGUCCGAUAGAGGUGGGUGGAAUUCCUAGUGUAGAGGUGAAAUUCGUAGAUAUCGGGAGGAACACCGGUGGCGAAGGCGGCGACCUGGGUAGAUACUGACGCUGAGGUGCGAAAGCGUGGGGAGCAAACAGG